rnacentral:rRNA from 1 species
CAACAUCGCGAGGUGAAGCAAAUCCCCAAAAAAGUGUCUCAGUUCAGAUUGUAGGCUGCAACUCGCCUACAUGAAGUCGGAAUUGCUAGUAAUCGCGGAUCAGCAUGCCGCGGUGAAUACGUUCCCGGGCCUUGUACACACCGCCCGUCACACCAUGAGAGCCGGUAACACCCGAAGUCAGUAGCCUAACCGCAAGGGGGGCGCUGCCGAAGGUGGGAUUGGUAAUUGGGGUGAAGUCGUAACAAGGUAGC